rnacentral:rRNA from 1 species
GGCGCAGGCGGGAAGAUAAGUCAGAUGUGAAAGCCCAGGGCUCAACCUUGGAACAGCAUUUGAAACUAAUUUUUCUUGAGGGUAGGCGGAGAAAACGGAAUUCCACAAGUAGCGGUGAAAUGCGUAGAUAUGUGGAAGAACACCCGUGGCGAAAGCGGUUUUCUAGCUUAUACCUGACGCUGAGGCCCGAAAGCUAGGGGAGCAAACAA